GGAGGUGCGAUGGCCGUCGUCAGUUGUACUGUGAAGCAUCCUGUUAAGUCAGGCAACGAGCGAGACCCACGCCAACAGUUGCCAGCUCGGUCCUCCGGGGAUGGUGGGGACACUGUUGGGACCGCCUCUGCUAAAGAGGAGGAAGGAAUGGGCAACGGUAGGUCAGCGUGCCCCGAAUUAUCUGGGCUACACGCGGGCUACAAUGGGUGGGACAAUGGGUAUCGACACCGAAAGGUGAAGGCAAUCUCCUAAACCCAUCCGUAGUUCGGAUUGUGGGCUGCAACUCGCCCACAUGAAGCUGGAAUCUGUAGUAAUCGUGUCUCAAAAUGGCACGGUGAAUAUGUCCCUGCUCCUU
rnacentral:rRNA from 1 species